GACGAACGCUGGCGGCGUGCUUAACACAUGCAAGUCGAACGGAACGGCCCUGCUUUUGUGCGGUCCUCGAGUUGCGAACGGGUGAGUAACACGUGAGUAACCUGCCCUUGACUUUGGGAUAACUUCAGGCAACUGGGGCUAAUACCGGGUAGGAGCUCCUGCUGCAUGGUGAGGGCUGGAAAGUUUCGGCGGUUGGGGAUGGACUCGCGGCGUAUCAGCUUGUUGGUGGGGUAGUGGCUUACCAAGGCCUUGACGGGUAGCCGGCCUGCGCGGGUGACCGGCCACAUUGGGACUGGGAUACGGCCCAGACUCCUACGGGAGGCAGCGGUGGAGAAGAUUGCACAAUGGGCGGAAGCCUGAUGCAACAACGCCGCGUGCGGGAUGACGGGCUUCGGGUUGUAAACCGCUGUCGCCUGAGACGGGGAGUGAGUGACGGUAAUGGGUAAAGAAGCACCGGCUAACUACGUG
rnacentral:rRNA from 1 species